GGCUUUUCAGUGUAAGACACAAUCUGCCCUGAAUCCAUCUCCUGCUCCAGCAGGCUGCAGCUCCUGAGGCCAGGCUGGAUAUUCUUUAAGUACAUGGAGGUGCUGCUGCUGAAAUACUUUUGUGCUGUCAUAGGCACCCAACAAUGGUUGGAUUCCUGGGUGUGUCCUGGGGCCUAAUUCCAGCAGAACUUGCCCUGCUCCAGGCUUGGCUGCAGCAUCCACAGAUUCAGUGAGCCAAAGGGGAGCUUUUAAAAGGAAAUCCUGGAGCUGUCAGAGCAGGAUUAAUUUGGCCACUUGACACGGAUGGAACAACCUCCUGCUGACACCUUCAAGGCUGUGCUGCCCUCAGCCAACGUGGGGCUGCCAGGACACCUCAUCCAGAUCCAGCGCCCCGGGCCUGCCUACGUCACCCACACAGGGCCCCUGGUCAGGAGGCUCCUUGAGCAGGACCAGCAGAGAAAGGCUCCAUCCAACCCCCCUGCACAGACAGAGCCGAACAUGGAGCCUCCAGGAGAUGGUCCUGAGGAGCAGCCCCAGGUGCUGAGCAGAGGCAGCAGCCCUGGGAGUGGGAAGGACUCCGUGGGAAUGCCCCCAGCUCAGAGCACUUUGCCAUCACAGUGUGUUUACAACAGGGUUAUUUUUGCAAGGAGACCUCCCUCCCGUGUGCUGCCAUGGAGCAACCUGGUGUGUGCCAGCAGGAAGGACUGAUCUGCCUGCAGCUGGAAGCAAAGCAAAGAAAGAAGAUGCUCUUCAGUGUUUUCUGGAGUCCAUUAAACUACCCAUGCAAACAGCA